CUUUACUUGAACAUGAUCUGUUCUAUCACCAUUGUGUCCUUGUUUUCUAAGAAGACAAGAAUCUAAGUCUGGUUGAUGAAUCAUUACUACGUGAUCAUGUCCGGGUUCAGAUC
rnacentral:snoRNA from 1 species